AGAAAGUUAGUCUAACCAAGACAGUUGAUUUCGACUCAACAGAUUAUAGCCCCACCCUAUAACUUUCUU
rnacentral:tRNA from 2 species